rnacentral:misc_RNA from 1 species
GAAAUGCGAUAAGUAAUGUGAAUUGCAGAAUUCAGUGAAUCAUCGAAUCUUUGAACGCACCUUGCGCUCCUUGGUAUUCCUUGGAGCAUGCCUGAUUGAGUAUCAUGAAAUCUUCAAAGUAAAUCUUUUGUUAACUCAAUUGGUUUCUACUUUGGUAUUGGAGGUCUUUGCAGCUUCACACCUGCUCCUCUUUGUUCAUUAGCUGGAUCUCAGUGUUAUGCUUGGUUCCACUCGGCGUGAUAAGUUAUCUAUCGCUGAGUACACUGUAAAAGGUGGCCAAGGUAAAUGCAGAUGAACCGCUUCUAAUAGUCCAUUGACUUGGACAAUACUUUUAUGAUCUGAUCUCAAAUCAGGUAGGACUACCCGCUGAACUUAAGC